rnacentral:rRNA from 1 species
GAUGAACGCUGGCGGCGUGCCUAAUACAUGCAAGUCGAGCGAACAGACGUGUAUCUUGCUCCUCUGACGUUAGCAGCGGACGGGUGACUAACACUUGGAGAACCUACCUAUCAGACUGGGAUUACUUCUGGAAACCGGAGCUAAUACCAGAUAAUGUAUUGAACCGCAUGGUUCAAUAGUGAAAGAUUGUUUUGCUGUCACUUCUAUAUGUAUCCGCGCCGCAUUAGCUAGUUGGUAAGGUAACGGUUUACCAAGACAACGAUGCAUAGCCGACCUGAGAGAGGGUUAGGACACGCUGGAAGAGAGAGAAGGGCCAGACUCCGACGGGAGGAAGCAGUAGGGAAUCUUGCGAAAUGGGAGAAGGCAAGACGGAGCAACGCGGGAAGAGUGAUGAAGGUAAUCGGAUCGUAAAACACUGUGAUUAGGGAAGAACAAAUGUGUAAGUAACUAUGCACGUAAUGACGGUACCUAAGCAGAAAGCAACGGCUAACUACGUG